rnacentral:rRNA from 1 species
GAAAUUUAACGGAUUUGGCGGCAAGAUAGCCCCUUAGAGGAACCUGCCCUGUAAACGAUGAACCACGAGGGACUCUACUUUCUUUGGUAGUCAGUUUGUAUAUCGCUGUUGUCAGUUAGAUUCUUGAGAAUAUUUUCGUUUAUGAAAAGUUCAUUGACUUCAAGUAAAGGUGCAGCUUAUAAGGAAGAUAGAGGUGGGUUACAUUUAUGAGAAUAAAACGGAAAGGAUGGAUGAAACAAUCCUUGAAGGUGGAUUUAACUGUAAAACUUAAGUAGGUUUGGUGAGAGCUCUAUCUUGUGUACACACCGCCCGUC